rnacentral:rRNA from 1 species
AUUGAACGCUGGCGGCAUGCUUUACACAUGCAAGUCGAACGGCAGCGCGGGCUUCGGCCUGGCGGCGAGUGGCGAACGGGUGAGUAAUGCAUCGGAACGUGCCCAGUAGUGGGGGAUAGCCCGGCGAAAGCCGGAUUAAUACCGCAUACGACCUGAGGGUGAAAGCGGGGGACCGAAAGGCCUCGCGCUAUUGGAUCGGCCGAGGUCGGGAUGGCUAGUUGGUGGGGUAAAGGGUUACCAAGGCGAUGAUCCGUCGCUGGUCUGAGAGGACGACCAGCCACGCUGGAACGGAGCCACGGCCCAGACCCCUACGGGAGGCAGGAGUGGGGAAUUUUGGACAAUGGGGGCAACCGUGAUCCAGCCAUGCGGCGUGCGGGAAGAAGGCCUUCGGGUUGUAAACCGAUUUUGUUCGGGAAGAAAUCCUCUGGGCUAACACCCCGGGGGGAUGACGGAACCGGAAGAAUAAGCACCGGUUAACUAGGU